AUGUGUAUACUGUGCGCCGUGCAACGGUGGUCGCGGCGCGUCGCCACCAUGCUGCCGUGGCUCGUCCUCCCCCUCAUCCUCCUCUGGGCGCUCUCCCAGCUCCUGCCCACAGCCUACCGCUUCGAGGUCACCUCUCCGCGCCUCGCCUGUGUCUCCGUCCUGCUCCUCACCCUCUUCUGGUACGAAAUUCUUCUCCCACGCCUCUCCCUCUGGCGCGCACGCCGCUCCGCGCGCCUUCGCGAGGAGCGCCGUGCCCACGCUCUGGAGCUACAGAAGCUACGCAAGACAGCCACACGCCGCUGCCGCAACUGCAACAACCCAUAUAGGGACCAGAACCCUGGAGGCGGCAAGUUCAUGUGCUCUUACUGUGGCCACGUAUCCAAGCGGCCUGUGCUUGAUCUUGGCCCUGCAGGGAAGGUCCCAACUGGUUGGCCUUGCAGUCAGGAUUGGGCCAAUGCUGUAGGUGACCCAGGUUACUGGCUUGACCUGCGCUGCUCCGCCGACAAUUCAUACUCAGGGUUCUCAUGGCGGCUGUUCUCGACCUUCUAUGUGAGCGUGGCAUGGUUCUGGAAGAAAGUGUUCAGGUUUGGGUCAUCAGGGGACGGUAGUGGCUUGGGCCGGGAUGGCAAAAUGUUGACAAAAGGAGAUAAUGCAGGGAAGGCUGAGGAGAGCAGAGUGGACAAGGCAAAAAGGAAGGCUGAAGAGAAGAGGUUGGCGAGGUUAGAGAAGGAAAUGCUGGAGGAGGAGGAAAAGAAGCAGCGGGAAGAGAUGGCAAAACUAGUAGAGGAGCGUAGAAGGCUGAGGGAUGAGAAAGCAGAGGCUGAGGAACGAUCCAAAGGCGCUACCCCUGUCGGGGAGAAGGAUGCUAGGAAGGAAGCAGAACGAAAGCGUCAGGAGAGAAGGAGGAAGGAAGACAAGGGAUCAAGCAAGAGUAAUUCAGAUUGUGAGGAUAUUGAGAGAAGAGUGAGCAGAGAGGGUGAAUGGAAGCGGUACUUCGAUAGAAGGAAUGAGCCAGACAGGCGGGAUACAGGUAGAGUUGGAGCAGAUGGAUAUAAGCCUCAUAACUUUGAAGCUAAUGUUCAGGGUAGUAAGGUAGUACAGAGCAAGACAAAAUAUUUUGGCCGUAUGACUGGAGGUUUGUUAUCUUCUUCCAGAGGUUUCAGCGGUGGUUCCAUUUUUGGUAGGAGUACUCAGGCCCCUGCUCCUCAAGCUAACAAGGUGACUAAACCACUUGUUACUGCAACUGACCAGAGUAAUACUGUUAAAAGAGAUGCCCAGUCUGCAGCUGCACAAGCAAUGGCCAAAUCUGCUACCACUGGAGAAACUAGAAAUAUGUGGAAUAAUUCUCAUCAACCUGUUAGUCCAAAUAUGCAGGCACAUCCUACAGGUCCUAAAAAGUCAUGGCAUCAGCUGUUUAGCCGCUCAACAUCAGUUUCUCCUUGUCCUGAUGUUACUGCUGCAGCUCGUGAAAAGAAGGGGCAACCAGAACUAAAUGGAGCACAGAUAAGCAGUGCCCAAAAUUUUCUGGCUCACUAUCCUCCUCUGGACAGCAAUCCAAGGUUAAGCCAGUCAAUGCAUUUUACAGGGUUUUCACUAGUAAAUGGAGCACCUCCCAACACACCUCCAUCUCAUUUUCCAGCUGGGCACACACCCUUCUGUGCUGAGGCAGAAACAGCAGUAUUGGAAGAACUGGAGAGGUUUGAGGACCCGUGCUAUGAUCCAGAUGCAAUUGCAUUGCUUGGGCCAGUUUCAGAAUCCCUAGACAACUUUCCUCCAGACUGGGAUAACAGGUUUACCUUGAGUGGUGUCGCCAAGGAACCACAUGUUAAGCCAUCACCAAUUGAGUCUCCCCUGUCAAGAUCACGGACUGUUGAAGAAAAGCCUAUAAAACAAUCACAUUUUUCUAUUUCCAAAGGGCCUGAUGGUUCCAUGACACCUGAGGCUACCGAUGAGCAAGGCACAUGGCAAAUGUGGAGCACACCAUUGGUGCAGGACACUUUAGGCCUGCGAGGUCCUCAGAUGCAGUGGCUUUUACCAAAUAAGGAUCAGUUUAACCAUGGUGUCAGUAACUUGAAUGGCGGAACAAGGAGCCCCCUCGGUGCUGGUUUGCAUGACAGUGAUUUAUGGCUGCAGAAAUCACCCUUCCAGCAAUUGCCUCUUGAUACAGAGAGUCUGUUCCUUUCACACAAUUUUCCAGAAACUCCUGCUCACAGUGAGUUGGGUUUCGGAUCUCCAAACAAAGUGGCCCGUGCACACCCCUUUGGGCCACCUGGUCCUGGUCAUCCUUGGCCCAAGGAGGAUCUGGUGCUGAAUGGACCUCAGGGAGCAAGUCAAAUCCACUCACCGACUGGAGCGCAUGCUGGCUUAUUUCCAACUAAUCCUGAUACGCAGUCAGUUUGGUCGUUCGAUCAAAAAAGAGACAGCAUGGAACCUACAAAAUGA
rnacentral:rRNA from 1 species